rnacentral:rRNA from 1 species
AACGAACGCUGGCGGCAUGCCUAACACAUGCAAGUCGAACGAGACCUUCGGGUCUAGUGGCGCACGGCUGCGUAACGCGUGGGAACCUGCACUUAGGUUCGGAAUAACUCCCCGAAAGGGGUGCUAAUACCGGAUAAUGUCAUCGGACCAAAGAUUUAUCGCCUUUGGAUGGGCCCGCGUUGGAUUCGCUAGUUGGUAGGGUAAAAGCCUACCAAGGCGACGAUCCAUAGCUGGUCUGAGAGGAUGAUCAGCCACACUGGGACUGAGACACGGCCCAGACUCCUACGGGAGGCAGCAGUGGGGAAUAUUGGACAAUGGGCGAAAGCCUGAUCCAGCAAUGUCGCGUGAGUGAUGAAGGCCUUAGGGUUGUAAAGCUCUCUUACCCGGGAUGAUAAUGACAGUACCGGGAGAAUAAGCUCCGGCUAACUCCGUG